rnacentral:rRNA from 1 species
GACGAACGCUGGCGGCGUGCCUAAUACAUGCAAGUUGAGCGCUGAAGGUUGGUACUUGUACCAACUGGAUGAGCAGCGAACGGGUGAGUAACGCGUGGGGAAUCUGCCUUUGAGCGGGGGACAACAUUUGGAAACGAAUGCUAAUACCGCAUAAAAACUUUAAACACAAGUUUUAAGUUUGAAAGAUGCAAUUGCAUCACUCAAAGAUGAUCCCGCGUUGUAUUAGCUAGUUGGUGAGGUAAAGGCUCACCAAGGCGAUGAUACAUAGCCGACCUGAGAGGGUGAUCGGCCACAUUGGGACUGAGACACGGCCCAAACUCCUACGGGAGGCAGCAGUAGGGAAUCUUCGGCAAUGGACGAAAGUCUGACCGAGCAACGCCACGUGAGUGAAGAAGGUUUUCGGAUCGUAAAACUCUGUUGGUAGAGAAGAACGUUGGUGAGAGUGGAAAGCUCAUCAAGUGACGGUAACUACCCAGAAAGGGACGGCUAACUACGU